UAUCCAGUACAGUAUAGACAACACAAUGAUGACUGAGUGCGAUUCACUUUCUACUUCUGUUUCACGGUCAUGGAAGAAUAAGCGAAAAGUUAGACGCAGCAGAAAAUGAAUCUCAUUUCUACUGGGCCCUGUGACUGCUCUGCGGAAAUUCUAUUAUCGCUUUCCUUUAGGCGAGUCAGUACACACGUACACGGACUGAAGAGUAACUUGGAAAAAGGGUGGUAGCAUGAGAUAAACAACAGAAGGUCAAGAUUUGGGUGUUGAAGGCUUGGACCCGAACGCGGUGCUGGCCGGAGGCUCCCAGCCACCAAGCAAAGGCCACCUUGUUCCUCUGUGACCCUCUGUCGUGAUAAUUCUGCUUUGGAGCCAGGACCAUUUACUGAAUCUUCUGAAAUGUCAAACAAAAUUAAAUCUUGCAUCAUGUGGAAAGAAAAAGCAACCUAUCAAAAGACCAUUGAAUUCUAAUUCUGCUCUUGAAUAAUGUAACUCGGGGAAACAAUGACAAGCCACUGCGAAUCAAGACAGCUUUUGUAAAGGUCCUCCCAUCUGAAGUAAAAGAUGUCAUUCUCAUGCUGGGAGAGACUGACCAAAGUUCCCUGACAGUGUUGUUACCAGGCAUGCACCAUCUUCUCCAGAAAGGAACACUUCUAAAUUAUGGCCGUGACUGAAGUCCGUGAAGCAGUGAAAUUACAAGUUGUCAUGAUGGGAAUUAUUUUAUAAUCAACAGUAUCAUAUAACAGCCUGAAGAAAUCAGAACAGAAAUGAGAUCACUACUCAAAAUGUAUAA